rnacentral:rRNA from 1 species
AGGGAAUCUUCGGCAAUGGACGGAAGUCUGACCGAGCAACGCCGCGUGAGUGAAGAAGGUUUUCGGAUCGUAAAGCUCUGUUGUAAGGGAAGAACGAGUGUGAGAGUGGAAAGUUCACACUGUGACGGUAUCUUACCAGAAAGGGACGGCUAACUACGUGCCAGCAGCCGCGGUAAUACGUAGGUCCCGAGCGUUGUCCGGAUUUAUUGGGCGUAAAGCGAGCGCAGGCGGUUAGAUAAGUCUGAAGUUAAAGGCUGUGGCUUAACCAUAGUACGCUUUGGAAACUGUUUAACUUGAGUGCAAGAGGGGAGAGUGGAAUUCCAUGUGUAGCGGUGAAAUGCGUAGAUAUAUGGAGGAACACCGGUGGCGAAAGCGGCUCUCUGGCUUGUAACUGACGCUGAGGCUCGAAAGCGUGGGGAGCAAACAGGAUUAGAUACCCUGGUAGUCCACGCCGUAAACGAUGAGUGCUAGGUGUUAGACCCUUUCCGGGGUUUAGUGCCGUAGCUAACGCAUUAAGCACUCCGCCUGGGGAGUACGACCGCAAGGUUG